rnacentral:rRNA from 1 species
GAUGAACGCUGGCGGUAUGCCUUAUACAUGCAAGUCGUACGAGAGUUUUUUAACUCAAGUGGCGGACGGGUGAGUAACACGUAAGAAUUUGCCUUUAGGAGGGGGACAACAACUGGAAACGGUUGCUAAUACCCCAUAUGCUUUCGAGUGAAAUGGUUUUUCCGCCUAAAGAGAAGCUUGCGGCUGAUUAGCUUGUUGGUAGAGUAAUAGCCUACCAAGGCGACGAUCAGUAUCUGGUUUGAGAGGACGAUCAGACACACUGGAACUGAGACACGGUCCAGACUCCUACGGGAGGCAGCAGUAGGGGAAUUUUCCGCAAUGGGGCGAAAGCCUGACGGAGCAAUACCGCGUGAGGGAUGACUGCCUAUGGGUUGUAAACCUCUUUUUCAGGGAGGAAUAAAUGACGUGUACCUGAAGAAUAAGCAUCGGCUAACUCCGUGCCAGCCGCCGCGGUAA